AUGGUGGUUUUUUUCCCCACUAAUUAAUUCUAACAAGAUCCAGGAAGUUCUGAAGAAAAAUUAAUUGUGGCAUUUAUGUAAUCAUGUAAAAUGGGGGAUUUUCGAAGAGAAAAUGCGUGAUAUUUGAUUAAAUGGAGGGAUUUCUUAAGAGAAAAUGCAUGAUUUUCGGUUAAAUGGGGGAUUUUUGAAGAGAAAAUGUGUGGUUUUUAGGUUAAAUGCAGGAUUUUUGUAGAGAAAAUGCAUGAUUUUUGGUUAAAUGGGGGAGUUUUGAAGAAAAAAUGCAUGAUUUUCAGGGUAAAUGGGGGAUUUUCAAAGAGAAAAUGCGUGAUUUCUGGGUUAAAUGAGGGAUUUUCAAAAAGAAAAUGAGUGAUUUUUCAUGUUAAAUAGGGGAUUUUUUGAACAGAAAAUGUGUGAUUUUCAGUUAAAGGAAGGAUUUUUGAAGAUAAAUUGUGUGAUUUUUGGGUUAAAUGGGGGAUUUUCAGAGUGAAAAUGCAUGAUUUUCUUGUUAAAUGUGGCAUUUUCAAAGAGAAAAUGUGUGAUAUUUGUUUAAAUGGGUUAGUUGUCCCGCACAUUCCGCUUGAUCUCCCUCAAGACAGUCUGCUCCAUAAUCUUCCCCGGCACCGUGGUCAGGCUAACAAGCAUGUGCGGGACAACUGGGGGAUCAGGCCUAGCCAGCAUGGGUUUACAAAGGGCUGGACCUUCUUGACCAAUGUGAUCUCCUUCUAUCAUCUAGUGACCCGUCUGGUGGAUGAGGGAAAGGCUGUUGAUGUAGUCUACCUAGACCUCAGUAAAGCCUUUGACACUGUCUCCCACAGUAUUCUCCUGCGGAAGCUGGCAGUCCGUGACUUGGACAGAUACACUGUUGGCUGGGUAAGGAACUGGCUGGAGGGCCGGGUCCAGGGAGUGGUGGUGAAUGGAGUUAAAUCCAGCUGGUGACCGGUCACGAGUGGUGUUCCCCAGGGGUUGGUGCUGGGGCCUGUCCUCUUCAAUGUCUUUAUUGAUGACGCGGAUGAGGGUAUUGAGUGCACCCUCAGUAAGUUUGCAGAUGACACCAAGCUGGCUGGAAGUGUCAAUCUGCCUGAGGGUAGCGAGGCCCUACAGAGGGAUCUGAUAGGCUGGAUAGCUGGGCUGAAGCCAAUGGGAUGGGAUUCAACAAGACCAAAUGCCAG
ensembl:lncRNA